GCAGACACAUUCCAGCCAAUCAGCAGCAGACCCUCCCUCCGAGACCCUCCCACCUCCUGGACAGCAUCCAUUGUGAAGCUGCAUUCUUAGUGAGCUGUCCAGGAGGUGGGAGGGUCUGGGAGGGAGGGUCUGCUGCUGAUUGGCUGGAAUGUAUCUG